UAUCAUCGUCGGGUAGCCUUGCUCCCGUUAUGUUAUCGCCGGACGGGUGAGUAACACGUGGGUAACCUGCCUGUAAGACUGGGAUAACUCCUGGAAACCGGAGCUAAUACCGGAUAGUUCCUUGAACCGCACGGGUCACGGAUGAAAGACGGUUUCUGCUGUCACUUACAGAUGGACCCGCGGCGCAUUAACUAGUUGGUGAGGUAACGGCUCACCAAGGGGACCAUUCGUAACCCAACUGAAAGGGUGAUCGGCCCCACUGGGACUGAAACCCGGCCCAAACUCCUACCGGAGGCAGCAAUAAGGAAUCUUCCGCAAUGGACGAAAGGCUGACGGAACAACGGCCCGUGAGUGAUGAAGGUUUUCGGAUCGAAAAGCUCUGUUGAUAAGGAAAAACAAGUGCAAGAGUAACUGGUUGCACCUUGACGGUACCUAACCANAAAGCCACCGCUAACUACGUGCCAGCAGCCGCGGUAAUACGGAAGUGGCAAGCGUUGAUCGGAAUUAUUGGGCGUAAAGGGGUCGCAGGGGGUUUCUUAAGUCUGAUGUGAAAACCCCCGGUCAACCGG
rnacentral:rRNA from 1 species